rnacentral:rRNA from 1 species
UACGGGGGGGGUAAGCGUUGUUCGGAAUUACUGGGCGUAAAGGGCGCGUAGGCGGCCUUCUAAGUCGAUCGUGAAAUCCCCGGGCUCAACCCGGGAACUGCGUCCGAUACUGGAAGGCUUGAAUCCGGGAGAGGGAUGUGGAAUUCCAGGUGUAGCGGUGAAAUGCGUAGAUAUCUGGAGGAACACCGGUGGCGAAGGCGACAUCCUGGACCGGUAUUGACGCUGAGGCGCGAAAGCCAGGGGAGCAAACGGG